AGACACUGAACUGUUCAAGUGUUAUAGCAUUACAUACAAAAAUUCCAGUUUAGUUUUUGCUAUAUGACAAACUCGAUGCUACACAAAAUGCGAAUGUUUACAAAAAGAGUAAGAUUUACCAUCAUGUACAAAAUAAAAUUCAACCAUGAGCAAUUUUGCCAGCUUCAUGAUGAUCAUUCACAAAUUUUAAAAUGUCUUGGACAUAAAUACACCAUGUCAAGAUAACCGUCUUAGUGUUCAGAAAGAUUAGUAGAGGGAUAAAACAGUUGUAGGCAAUAAAAGCUCACUCAACCUACUCAGCCAAUAUUGUUCUUGAUCCUUCGCCUCCUUGAUGUCCUGCUGAACUUUUUCACCCAGUAUUUCAAAUACUUUGACAGAUCUUUGCACCUCUCCCGCUCGGUUUUGGGCCUCUUGCAAGCGCCUUUCAGCCUUUUUGAGUCGUUUCUCUGCUGCUAAGACCUCAUUGUUCCUUUCUACCAAAUCCUUUUUAGCUGCUUUAGAGACGAGCUUGGUAGUCUCUCUUAACGCCAUUAGUAAAGAAGACUUUUUCUCCAUAUCCUCCUCUUCAGAAAUCUCAUCAAGAUAUUGUUGCAACCAAGCUACAUCAAGCUUGGCAUCCACAGCAUCAGAGACUACAGAUCUCAUGGCUUUAAUGGAAGAAAAACUAACAUCACUGGUUUUCAGCCGCCUGACAACAUCACUAACAACAUCAAGCAGGGAAGCUCUGGCAGCCACUGAUUUACAUUGACAGUUGACUGCAAUGUCACCAUACUUGGCAAAAAUGGCAGCAAGUAUAGGAGCAUUGCUCACUUUUACUUUAUAGCCAUGCACAUCCACCAGCUCACUGGACACAUCACCAUCUUCGGGCGACACCUUUAUAGUUGUUGUCAAACUCCUUGGAUUUUCGUCUUCUCCAGAUUCUGAACCUUCAACCUUGAUCCCUUUAUUUUGGUGCACUCCUUUUGGAGUUGAAUUAUGCUGCGUGGUCAUUAUUGGAGUCAUCAGAUCGUCAGUUGCUUUCCCACUAUAUAACUUUGUUUUGCUGCCUGCAUUCUUCUUGCUUUCAGUACCAGGAGUUAGCAACGGCACAUCAUUAGCAACAUUCAAAGCCUUCUUUUUUUUCCUUGUUUGGCGAUAUGAAUCAAUAAUGCAACCAAGGCGCAUGUCAGACAAAUCACUUGGACCAGGAGCAAUCUCGUGUAUAGGAUCUGAUGCAUUGUCAUUGUCAACUAGUUCCCAGCGCUCCUUUGUAAGAUUAAGAAUUUCUUGAUCGCCAUCUCCAUAGAUCACCGUGUGCUUCUUCUCUGAAUGGUCAAAAUCAGUGACAAGUCCUUCAUAGAACACUUGAUCAAGUGGCCACCAAACCCUUACUCUGCAGCCAACGAGCUCCUUCCCAUGCUCUCUGACAACUUUAUCCGCAGAAUCCUCUUUCUGUGAUGGCGGGUUCUUCCUUUUACAUUGUUUUUUAGAGCUUUUGGGGAAAUUGCUAUGCUUGAUGAUUGACACAGAACCCAAUGCCUCUUCUUGUGAUGGCAAG
rnacentral:misc_RNA from 1 species